UGUUAGAGAGAGAGAGAGAGAGAAUUAUUUUAGUGUUAGAGAGAAAGAGAGAGAGAGAGAAGAGUAGAGUGGUGGGGCGGUGCAGAGCGCAGAAGCAUUUAGCUGUUGAAGCUGCCAGCAUGAUCCGGUUCAGAAUCAGAAUUUUGAUGAUUCAGAUCGUGCUGCAGCUUCACCUGCUAAUGCAUGCAAUUUUUCAUCUACUUUCACUCUCUCAUGCAGCUUCAGCUUUAUUGGGUAGCAAUGGAUGCAAAAAUCAUUUCAAGUUAUUUGGUCAUGGUUCCUUCGCAUAGUGCAGUUGCACGAACCAUACGGUCCAGGGCUUGAUCAAAUGUACAAUUUGUACCCGGCCGACCACCACAUAGUUCUCCAUUUCAUCAGUAUACCUUGUGACUCUCGAGCUUCAACAACUUCGGUGGUUGCUUUUAUUACUUGAAUCACGCUUCAACAGACUAAGUCCUCGAAGCGUUUGAGGCGGGAACUAUACCAGUUGUACCUAUGUGUUGAAAAAUGUACAAAAGAAACAUACGACUGAAAUGUAAAGUGCUCUCUAUGAACAAGUGAUCAUGGCUCUCUCGCUUUUAGUUUUGCGUAAGUGGCAUGCCUCUUCCAUCUGGAGUCCACAUAUUUGGAUUCUAUCAUUUGUGAGUAGCCUCUGGUGGCAUGCUGACCGAGAGAAUCAGGAGGUUAUACGGUUAACAAGCUUUUGCAUAAAGCUUUUAAGAUCUCAUGUCUUUUUCAUGCGUUACAUAGCUACAAUUUGCGCAUGAAUAGCGUGCAUUGAGUGAUUUGUGUUGUGCAUGGUGUGCAGUGUGCAGUACACAAGACUGAGUACUAAGUUCA